rnacentral:rRNA from 1 species
CAGCAGCCACGGUAAUACGAAGGUCCCGAGCGUUGUUCGGAAUCACUGGGCGUAAAGGGAGCGUAGGCGGCGUGGUAAGUCAGAUGUGAAAUCCCGGGGCUCAACCCCGGAACUGCAUCCGAUACUGCCAUGCUAGAGGAUUGGAGAGGUAGCUGGAAUUCUUGGUGUAGCAGUGAAAUGCGUGGAGAUCAAGAGGAACACUCGUGGCGAAAGCGAGCUACUGGUCUGUAACUGACGCUGAGGAGCGAAAGCUAGGGGAGCAAACAGGAUUAGAGACCCCAGUAGUCCCUGUCUCUUAUAC